UAUAGAGGACAGUGUCAACUAUAGCUCUGUGUGUUUCUUUAAUGUGAAAAGAAAUCCUAUUUCCUGCCAAAAACACAGCCCACUCCCUACAUGCAGCUCCCUGAAUCGCAGGUUCCGUAUUGAUUUGAUGCCGCCAUCUAAAGUUAGUCAUCACCCAACAACCUCACAGCUCUGACCACACUGUUAUGAUCUAGCUUCCCAGAUCUAAAACUGUGAAAUUCAAACUGAGAAGCCUGCAUGCCGUGCCAAAGGGAUUUUAUCUAGCAAGACCAAAUCUGUGUCCUCUAUGUAAUUAGAUCCUGUACAUUUUUAAUGGAUAUCUACAUUAUUAACAUGUGAACACACUCUGUAACAACUGGAACAAGAUGGCAGGUGCUGACUUGCAAGAAACAGGCUUAUGGAAACCAUUUCUCAUCUUUGCUGAGUACAUUUUCUCGUCCAGCCAUCAUUCUGAGGGCUACCUACCUGCUCACAGUCCUCAGUCCUAUCAGCUCCCUUCCCUUUCAGACAGCAGUGUGGUGACACUGUGCCCUCUCCUAAUUUUUUCAGUGUAAUAGAUCCUUCUAGCAGCGCGCUUGAUGCUCCUCUUCUGCCUAGACUCAGUGACUGCCAAAAGCUGUUUAGGCUUUUUUGUAUUUGUGGUGACUCCAAAGACAUUGGAGGUUGGGUGGGCGGUGAAGCAGGGGAGCACUUUGAAGGGCGGGUCAGGGCUAAUAGGUUAAAUACCUCUUAAAGGAUCGUUUGUUCUCAUAAACCAGAUGUAGUGACACAAAUGAGGAUGAAGUCUGGUUGUUUGUAAGCCUGGAAUUGAGAUAGAUAUGAGUUCACAAAUUCAGGAAUAGAUCAGUGUAAACUACACAAACAAGACCAAGUGAGCUGUAAAAGUUAAUGUGAUCCUUGAAUCCUACAGUUUAGGACCAUGUUUAUAAAAUGUUCUUAAAAGACAUGAAUUUGAAUGUGUAGAAAUAAAAAAAAAGUAAUGCAACAAGUGUGGGUUGUUUUUGUGAUGUAUUCAUUUCUAAUAAAUACAUGUGACAUUCAA